UACUGAGAAAGGACCAGAGGUUAUGUUUUACCACACGCUACACUGGCACUGAACUCUGGAUGAACAUGGUUUCCUGUGGGUUCAACAGCACUUUGGAAGUAAUCCUUUCUAGAUCAAAACAGGCAUAAACUAAAAACAACAACAACAACAACAACAAAAACAAC